CGGAGGGAUGCUGCAGCCUGGUAACCGGGGAGGCUGCCGGUUGUUUGCCUCGGGGGGCGCGGGGAAGCAGGGAUCCUCUUUGACGUCAAGCCUAAUGCUCGCUCGUUCAUAUCCGGGUCCCCGCGCGGUUCCCCGGGGCUCGGCUGGGCUGCCUUUCGCGGCGCAGGAGGCGGCGGCCGGGGGCCGCCCGGAGCUGGCCGGCUCGGAGGGAGGGGAGCGCAGCAUGCCCGCCGCCUCCCCUGCGCCCCCCGCCCGCCGCUGCCCAUGGAGAUCGCGCUGGUGACUUUGGAGAACGGAGGCGCCACGGCCAUCGCGGGAGCGGGCGAGGAUGCGGGAGGCGGCCGGGCGCGGCGGCGGGGGGACCUGCUCCUCGUCCCCAACUCCGCCGCCCCCGCCUGGCUGAACGGCUGCCGCGGCGCCCCGGAGCAGGAGCAGGAGCAGGAGCAGCCGCGGGCGGGCAGCGGCGGCUGCCGAAGCAGGAGCGACCGCGCCGGCAGCGCCAGCCGGAGGGUGCCCGCUGCCCGGGGCGCCUCGCCGCCGCCGGCUCCCGCCGAGCCGCCGCGCCCCUACCCGGGCGGGGGCCAGGAGGAGGCGAUGGUGCUGCCGGAGGAAGGCGGGCACCGCUUGGGCAUGGGCAUGGCCGCGGCGGCCGAGGAGGAGGAGGAGGAGGAGAAGAGCCAGCGCGCCCUGCACCACCAGCGGGUGCUGAUCAACAUCUCCGGGCUGCGCUUCGAGACGCAGCUGGGCACCCUCAACCAGUUCCCGGACACGCUGCUGGGCGACCCGGACAAGCGCAUGCGGUACUUCGACCCGCUGCGCAACGAGUACUUCUUCGACCGGAACCGGCCCAGCUUCGACGGGAUCCUCUACUUCUACCAGUCCGGGGGCAAGCUGCGCCGGCCGGUCAACGUCUCCAUCGACGUCUUCGCCGACGAGAUCCGCUUCUACCAGCUGGGCGAGGAGGCCAUGGAGCGGUUCCGGGAGGACGAGGGCUUCAUCCAGGAGGAGGAGAAGCCCCUGCCCCGCAACGACUUCCAGCGCCAGGUGUGGCUCAUCUUCGAGUACCCGGAGAGCUCCAGCUCCGCCCGGGGCAUCGCCAUCGUCUCGGUGCUGGUGAUCCUCAUCUCCAUCAUCACCUUCUGCCUGGAGACCCUGCCCGAGUUCCGGGACGAGCGGGAGCUGCAGGCCCCCCAGCCCCCGCACGGGGCAGCCCUGAACGGCACCGCCGGGGAGGCCCCCCCGAUGCAGCCCCCCAGCAGCCUGUCCGACCCCUUCUUCAUCAUCGAGACCACCUGCGUGAUCUGGUUCACCUUCGAGCUGCUGGUGCGCUUCUUCGCCUGCCCCAGCAAGCCCGAGUUCUCCAGGAACAUCAUGAACAUCAUCGACAUCGUGGCCAUCAUCCCCUACUUCAUCACCCUGGGCACCGAGCUGGCUCAGGAGCAGCAGGAGCCCGGGGCCCCCAGCACCGCCAGCAACAACAACGGGGGCCAGCAGCAAGCCAUGUCCCUGGCCAUCCUCAGGGUCAUCCGCCUGGUCAGGGUCUUCAGGAUCUUCAAGCUCUCCAGACACUCCAAGGGGCUGCAGAUCCUGGGGCAGACUUUGAAAGCCAGCAUGCGGGAGCUGGGGCUCCUCAUCUUCUUCCUUUUCAUCGGGGUGAUCCUCUUCUCCAGCGCCGUGUACUUUGCCGAGGCGGACGACCCAGACUCCCAUUUCUCCAGCAUCCCCGACGCUUUCUGGUGGGCUGUGGUGACCAUGACCACGGUGGGCUAUGGGGACAUGAGGCCUGUCACCGUAGGGGGCAAGAUCGUGGGCUCCUUGUGUGCCAUCGCUGGCGUGCUGACCAUAGCCCUGCCCGUACCUGUCAUCGUGUCCAACUUCAACUACUUCUACCACCGAGGAACUGACAACGAAGAGCAGCAGUCUGUUCUCAAGGAGGAACCCAGCAGCGCUCAGGGCAGCUCAGCUGUGGGGGAGCUGAAGAGAAGUCGCAGUAAAAACUCUCUGAACAAAUCUGUUGUGCACUUGGAAAACAGUGAGGGGAUCAACAACGGCACUGGAUCCUUAGAGAAAACCAAUAUCAAAGCUAAAAGCAACCUAGAUCUUAGAAAAUCCCUCUAUGCACUCUGUCUGGACACCAAUAGGGAAACAGACCUCAAAACCGUCACAAGGCUCUGGAUUUUACAGUUUCAAUCUUCCUAAAUGACAAUGAGAGAUCAUCUUCAUUUUGAUGACAUGGCACUGUGCAGCUACCUUAGUGAACAGUGAAAUGAAGUUGAUUCGUUACUUCAAAUCGAAACGCUACAUUAUCAUUUCUGUUGCAAAGCGCUUACAAUUUUUUUUUUUUUUUUUGCAAACUCCUGUUGCACUGCUGAAGGAUGUUUCAUGCCUUUACCAUAGCAAGAUUAGCAGGUCAUGGAAGAGAAGUCUUGAUUGUCAACGCUCAAGAGUGACCUGGAGCAGAGCCAGUGGUGCUGUUUUUGAGAAGGCUUCCCGGGGCAUAGCAGUCCACAGCACACCCAAUGAGACACAGUACUGGGAUGGAAAUUCCAGUCUGGGGAGGGUGUGAGUCAUGAGUUGAGGCUGCUUGAGAAGCUAUUUAGGGCAUCUUUUUUUAUAAUGUUUUUAACUGAUCUUGUGUUGCUUUUUUAAUUUAUACUUACACCUAUGUAGCUCAUCAUUUUUUUUGUAUAUUACAUAUUUUUAUUUCAAAAUUUGUAAAAAAAAUAUUUUUUAAUUUAUAUUUAUGCAAGAAAAAGGAAGUCAUAGUAAUUGUGGUUUGACAUCUUCGGCAACAAAUUUUAUUCGCUACUCAGUGGCCACUGUUUUGGUUAAAACACCAUUUCAUUAAUCAUAUCUGUAAACCCAAUAGGGUGCUGAAGGUAACUCCCUGGGAGAGGACAUUUAUGGUCCAAAUUUUCAGAAAGGGAGGUUGGAAGUAGGAAAAUACACAACUGCCCUUGAAGUCAAUGGAAAUCUGUCCAUUGUAAAUGGUCAUUUGGCCAAGCUAACUGGUGAUUUGCAUACGCAAAUACCUGAUUUGCAGAGAUAGAUGUAUUAGUUGCAUGCACGAAUGUAAGCAUGUAAUUGAGCAUACAGUCCUGCAAGUAGAUCUACCUACUUUUCUGAAAAUGUUACCCUAAAAAUCUAACUUACGAGUGUAGCGGAGAAAAGUAAUUUCUUUCUUCUGUGAAAUCUGUCUAUGCAACUGUACUGAAUUAGAAGAAUUGUCCAACAGGAAAGUCAGGAAUGGUUUCCGGAGGCACUCAUACAUUACUGGUUUACUCUAAAAAGUAAGGAAAAUAAUGGAACAUUGUAAUCUGUGUGUCUGCCACUUCUGAUCUAAGCCAUAUGUCUGUGUUUGGUAUGUAUCCUAAAGACUGCACCUGCAGUUGCUUGGUAGAGGACUGGCUGCCUUUCUCCUGGUGUCACGCUGCAGUAAAAGGACAUUGGGAAGAAAUUCAGAGAUUGGAACUAACACAGGUAGCCAGAUUCCUUUGCUCCCUGUUCCCAUACCUUCUUGGGAUAUGAAACUCUAUUGAAAGCCUUUCCCUUGAUUUGGAGUUGCCCAGCUUCUUCUCCACUGUCUCCCCACCCCCCUCACAUGGAUGUGUUCCCAUCGGUUGGAUUCCUCAAUCUGGAUGUUUAGAAAUCUGUUCUUUUGGGGGUUUUCUCUUACAGAGAAACUGUUCUCCAUUCAGAGCCCAGUUUUGAACUUGUUCUCAGACACAGCGAAACACAUCAGUGACUCUGCUGUUUUGAAUUUUGUAUGGAAAUACGUAAAUGAUCAAUUCUAAUUCUUUGUUUUCCUUCCACUAGUGCUGUUCUUUGUCAAAGUCUCUCAUAGUUUAGGGAGAUUAUUAAAGUACCAUUUAUUUCUGUCUUUUUUGACAUUCAUUUUCUUUUAUUUCUUUUGUAUUUUUAAGAUGUGAAGUCUCCGGGGUUAAUAUUUCAAAUCUUAGCAUCAAAGUGCUGUGCAUACAGGUCUAUUACACACCUGAAGGUUAGUCUUCGUUUUUAUGUGACUUUGACUUGAACACUUUUCCAUUUCUCUUUCUGUUAAUAUUGCUAUUUGGGAAAUGUGCACUGCCUGUAUUCUUUCUGUCUUUUGCCCCAUCUUUUAAUUCAAUAAAAAAAAUGUUUUCCUCA